AACAAUAGUCGGUAGCUAGCAGCAGGCAGUCAGUAUGUUAGCAGUGGUGGUUGGGGACGGACGUGCAGCUCAAUCCCUCCAACACCCUCGCUUGCCUCGCUCUUACUCCUCUAGAACGCUCUCGCUUACGCACAUCCUGCAGCUCAGCUGAUGCGUGUCACAGGUCAAGCAUUAUGUGAAACAGAGAAAACCAGCAACUUCAGGGAGGAAAAAAAAAGUUGUGAUGAAAUUGAGUUGUUAAGAAAAGGAAACUAAAAGAGAGAGAGAGAGAGAGAGAGAGAGAGAGAGAGAGAGAGAGAGAGAGAGAGAGAGAGAGAGAGAGAGCGCAAAAUCAGACAGUGGAAUUGUUAAACAAGUUGAAAAAUUAGGAAGAACGAAAGUUAGAACAGUGUGGUGACAACAAGCAGAACAUCUAGAAGGAAUUUUAUUUUCUGUGACUUGAUAACCUACAUCAGCAUCAUCAACAGCUCAAUACCUCUCUCUUCCACUUUACCUUUCCACCACAACAUUUAAACCAAACUGCUGAAAUAAAUUUAGAUAUUCACCAGGACGUUAAAAGUGACCUCGAACUUAUAAUAAUGAUAUAAAUGAUAAGGGAAUGCAUUGUGAUCGUAGAGUACACGUGCAAGUUUAUAUGUGUCACUAUUCUUGGACUUAUUUUAUAAAAGUGAUGGAAAGAAUUUAUUUUAUAAAGGAAACGCAUAUCCAUGAAAUUAUGAAACAUCGUGAUAGAAUGUGAGAAAAUUAUUAUGGUGAAUGAAAGUGACGACUGAAAACAAUAAAGGUAAUUGCUAAUACAUUACAAGACAAAAAAAAGAAAAAAAAAAAAAAGAAACUGAAGAGAGAGAGAGAGAGAGAGAGAGAGAGAGAGAGAGAGAGAAACUAAAAAUCCCAUCAGGACAAUGCCGAUAAAUACGGAAGGAGGUGAAUCAGAAAUCAGACCAAAAUCCGUAGAUAAAGAUAACGAGGGGAGUAUGUACAGCGCAAACGACUGAGAACGAGCGCGGAAAUAAAGCGUCAGCUGUAUGGACGGAACAAAGAAAAUAAAUUAAAACGGAAGACGACGUGUACCUAGUUAAUUCCUUUUCACAAGCAAAAGAAAGACAUAGAUGCAGAUCUGGGAUUACAAAACAUCUGACAUUAAUGGUAGAAACCAAGGAAAAUCCUUAAAAAUCUUUGAAACCCUCCCACCACACAAAGCUUGUAAGACAAAUACGGUACAAAUUAGGCUAAGAGGAGUGGGAGAAAUUAUUCAAUAUUUCAUAUUUAAACUAAAUUUUGCCUUAGAAAAACAUUGCCAACGGAAAA